UACAGAGGGCCCAAGCGUUAAUCGGAAUCACUGGGCUUAAAGGGUGCGUAGGCGGGCCUGCAAGUACUUUGUGAAAUACCAUGGCUUAACCAUGGAAUGGCUUGGUAGACUGCAGGUCUUGAGCCCGACAGAGGUCAUCGGAACUCUAGGUGGAGCGGUGAAAUGCGUAGAUAUCUAGAGGAACGCCAAAGGUGAAGACAGAUGACUGGGUCGGUGCUGACGCUCAGGCACGAAAGCGUGGGGAGCGAAC
rnacentral:rRNA from 1 species